rnacentral:rRNA from 1 species
UACGUAGGGUGCAAGCGUUAAUCGGAAUUACUGGGCGUAAAGCGUGCGCAGGAGGUGAUGUAAGACAGUUGUGAAAUCCCCGGGCUCAACCUGGGAACUGCAUCUGUGACUGCAUUGCUGGAGUGCGGCAGAGGGGGAUGGAAUUCCGCGUGUAGCAGUGAAAUGCGUAGAUAUGCGGAGGAACACCGAUGGCGAAGGCAAUCCCCUGGGCCUGCACUGACGCUCAUGCACGAAAGCGUGGGGAGCAAACAGG